GACGAACGCUGGCGGCGCGCCUAACACAUGCAAGUCGAACGGAGCUGAGAGAAGCUUGCUUUUCUUAGCUUAGUGGCGAACGGGUGAGUAACGCGUGAGUAACCUGCCCUGGAGUGGGGGACAACAGGGGGAAACGACUGCUAAUACCGCAUAAGCCCACGAUCCGGCAUCGGAUUGAGGGAAAAGGAUUUAUUCGCUUCAGGAUGGACUCGCGUCCAAUUAGCUGGUGGGUGAGGUAACGGCCAACCAAGGCGACGAUUGGUAGCCGGACGGGGAGGUUGACCGGCCACAUUGGGACUGAGACACAGCCCAGACUGCUACGGGAGGCAGCAGUGUGGGAUAUUGCACAAUGGGGGAAGCCCUGAUGCCGCGACGCCGCGUAGAGGAGGAAGGUUUUCGGAUUGUGAACUCCUGUCGUUAGGGACGAUAAUGACGGUACCUAACAAGAAAGCACCGGCUAACUACGUG
rnacentral:rRNA from 1 species